rfam:Eubacterium ruminantium strain ATCC 17233 genome assembly, contig: EI46DRAFT_scaffold00001.1
UUUAUUGAGAGUUCGAUCCUGGCUCAGGAUGAACGCUGGCGGCGUGCUUAACACAUGCAAGUCGAACGGAGUACUUCUCCCGAGACUGAGGAAGCUUGCUUCUGAAGAAUCAUUUGAAGUACUUAGUGGCGGACGGGUGAGUAACGCG